UUUUCUUGUCUUUAAACGGCCAAAAUCAACAACACAUUAAAAAAUAGAGCAACUCCCAUGUACCUAUUUCUCUCUCUUUCUUCUUUCAAUAAACACAAUCUAAACAAUAAAUACCGAUUUUCCCCUUGGAUUCUUUGGAGCACAGUCUCCCUCCAAUCUAGAAAGGAGGAAGAGAGGUCAUUUGUAUGGAUGUCCCUGUUGGGUUUUUUGAUAGCCUCUGGAGUUUUAUCUCUACCAAUUGGUUGUCUCAUUCAUUAGCAGGCCGAUAAACGUAAUACAUGAAAUCAGAUCUAAAACUGAAAUAUUAGCAAUAAAUCGGAGAUCAGAUCGUAACUAGCGGAACAUAUGUUUUCAUUUAUGAUGUGAGAUAUGAUGGGCAGAAUUGUGGUAAUAACCAAUCCGCUAGUUCUUCUAGCUGACGGCCUCCAAAGAAUCCAAGGGUAAAAUCGGUAUCUAUUGUUUAUAUAAUUAAGUGCAAAGGUCCAAAAAUGUCCCUCAUCUUUACCUCGAAAUCCCACCUACACCCUAAAGGAAACAAAUCAUGUAGUAAAAAUUGAAGACACCGGCCUAGUGCAAAAUUAGAUACCAGAUGACAAGGCAUCUCCUGAGGCUAUCAAUUUAAAUUGCUUAGGACCUACUGAAGAGAGCAGUGGAGUUGAGAAAUCAAAAGGGGUUGGAGGUUCUAUCUCUCUUGAUAGUGAUCAGGAGCUUCAAGCUGAUUGUUUAAUAAAGAAAUAUCCUAAAAACAAAUUAAGUAAAGAACAAAACUAACACCAAUUAAUCACUCAACAAAUGCCUAAACUAUAACAAAUAUCCUAAAAACAGAGACUUUUCUGUCCCAAUUCAUUUUAUUUCUUAAAAACCUAAAAUUCAAACACAUGUAUACAUAAUUUAUAUAUCAGGACAUACAAUCAUACAUAGAUUAACAUAGAUAGAAAAGAGAAACUCAUACCCGCAUUUGAUGAGGGAUAAAUUCGCAGAUCGAAGGGUUUUGAUACUUUAUAACUGAUCUUUCCCUCUCUAAAGACUUGGUUGUUUCUCUCUCCUCUAUUGAUUUUGAAGGAGAGAUGUGAAGAAGAAAGGAGAUAGAGAAACCAGAGAAACUCAUACCCGGACUUGGUUUUGUUUUUCUCUCCUCUCAUGAUUUCAGUUUUGUGAUUUUGGAACAGAGGAAGAAGAAAAGAGAGAGAAAAAGAA
rnacentral:lncRNA from 1 species